UUACUGUCAAAAAGUUGAGAUAUACGGUUUAUUUCAACUCUAAUAAAUUCUCCUCUAAUCUUUAGCUUCUUUAAUCAUGAGUUCAUCUUCUAUUAUUUUUUUUUUGAAAUUCAUGGCUGCUAAGAUAGAUUUUUGCUUUGAAGAAUCUCCAUUUCGUACCGACGAGGAAGAAGACGACGACGAGGAAGACCAUAAAACUAACUCAUCGUCUCCUACUUUUCUCGUUGCCAAAGUUAUUAGAGCUUUUUUUACUGCUCAUAGAGACUCCUCUUUCUCAUCUUCUUAUGGUUUUAACCACCGCCCCGGCUGCUACCACCGUCUCUACUACAAUUGCAUAUAGGGAUUCAAAGCCACACGAGUACACUUCGAUGAAGAAUUUGAAUGAAUCUAAGCAAGGCUUUGGGGGGCUCUUUCUAGAAAAACUAAAUCUUUUCUAAUGAUGAUGCUUACGCUUCUCAAUAUUUGGAUUCACCUGGUAGACUCACUUGCAAUCCGGUUAAACGGUCAAAAUUGAAUCUAGCAUUAUCAUAUUUGAGCAUUCUGAUUCAAAAAUAUGAUAUUUAUUAAGUUUUAAUCAUACUUAAGUUGCUUGUUAACUGUGUGUGGUUCUAGUAUUGUGUUUUGGAUUUACAUUUUGUUGAACCUUGCUGCAUUUGCACAUCUUUUCUUGUCUUUUUCUAGUCGAAUUCUUAUAAAUUUUCUUGGCCUAAAGAUGUCAAAGUACUAAAUUAUGGGCUGCUUUGUGAAUUAGGCUUUUGGCAUUAAGCUUCUUGACAAAAGGAAUGAAACAAGAUGAGGGAUGAUUUUUUAAUUGUAAUUUAAUUGUAUUUGUAGAAUGAUGUAGCAAUUUUUUUAUUUUCUUUUUCUUUUUUCAUUUUGUACUUUUGGUUAAACAAGUAUAUAAUCAUUCUAUUAAUUAGUUGAAUUA